rnacentral:rRNA from 1 species
GAUGAACGCUGGCGGCGUGCCUAAUACAUGCAAGUAGAACGCUGAAGGAGGAGCUUGCUCUUCUGGAUGAGUUGCGAACGGGUGAGUAACGCGUAGGUAACCUGCCUGGUAGCGGGGGAUAACUAUUGGAAACGAUAGCUAAUACCGCAUGACAACAGUUAUUGCAUGAUAACUGUUUAAAAGGGGCAACUGCUCCACUACCAGAUGGACCUGCGUUGUAUUAGCUAGUUGGUGAGGUAACGGCUCACCAAGGCAACGAUACAUAGCCGACCUGAGAGGGUGAUCGGCCACACUGGGACUGAGACACGGCCCAGACUCCUACGGGAGGCAGCAGUAGGGAAUCUUCGGCAAUGGACGGAAGUCUGACCGAGCAACGCCGCGUGAGUGAAGAAGGUUGUCGGAUCGUAAAGCUCUGUUGUAAGAGAAGAACGAGUGUGAGAGUGGAAAGUUCACACUGUGACGGUAGCUUACCAGAAAGGGACGGCUAACUACGUG